rnacentral:lncRNA from 1 species
GCCAUGGUGAAAAAUAUAUUGAUGACACUCAUUAGAGAGAAUGAAUUGAAAGUUGUGAGAAUAAAUUUAAUAAGACUUGUUUUAGCGAUUGGUGUUGAUUUGCCCAAAUCAUUGAGAAAGAAAAUUCGGCAAAGGCCUAGACUUCAUGAGCACAAAUUGAAAACUGUUCCAAUGGUUGAAAGACUAUGAACAGGGCUAGUAGCUAUUUGGACAGGUGACCAACUGAGUAACUG